AAAGUGUGGGAGGGAGGUUGUUUGGAGGUUAAAAAGAGGUAAUGGAGGAGAAGAUUUUAUGCAUAUGAGAGGGAUGGGGUCAGAGGUUGUGGGUUCUGAUGGAAAGGUUUGGUUAGAUGGGUUUGGUUCAAAAAGAGUUGGUAUGGAUGGUGUAGGUUCAGAUGAGGUAGGGAGUGAGGUUGUUGGUUGUUGAGAUUUAGAUUUUUCUGUGGGAGUGUUA
rnacentral:lncRNA from 1 species